GAAAGAAGCAUUUCUUUUUCUCAAUUUGAUUUAACUCGGGAACACAGUGGCAUCCGCAGCUCCAAACCCACUUCCAGAUUCCUCCUUUUUCUCCUCCACCGGCGCCGGAGCCUCCACCUUCUUCUCCUCCACCGGCGGCGCCACCUCUUCAGCUUUCUUCUCCUCGGUCACCGUCGGUGGUGCAACGGCAGUGGUACCGGACUUCUCAUACUGGUGAAGAUAAUCAUCUGCUUGUUUCAAAUACGACCCUACCCUUGAUUCUCAUCAAACUUACCGUACUGCUUGUUUCAAAGAAGCUUUUACAAGUUUUGGCUUUGAUACUGCCUUUAAGAUUAUGAGUGGAUUUGUCAUUUAUAAUGCUCCAUCCUAUGAAUCCCCCCGAUACUCAUCCCCAGAAACCCCUUAUCUGCUUUUGUUUCAUUGGAGAGAGAACGAGAAAAGUGAGAGAGUGAGAAGGAGAGAGACUGAGAAGGAGAGCAGGAUAGAGAAGGGGGUAGGAGAUUUAAUGGUGUCACUGAUUUCUCCAUCAAAUCCGGUUUUUAGGGUUUUGCCAGACCUAAAUUAUGCUCCCACAUCCCAGGCAGCGCCGACGUCAAGAAAUAGUCCGAUGAUAUUGAUGAUGGAUUGUUUUGAAGGCUAAACAGCUCAAAAAGGCUGUUUAAUUUGUUUUUUUUUUUUGUCACCUGAAACCCUAAUUCAUUCAUUGGAGGAAACGGUAGGUGUUGUGUCUGAAGGUGGUAGGGGCCUGAGCAUUUGGGAUGUUUUCCGCCUCACAAAUCCAGGUUGAACUGCCCAAGAUAUUCAAAUUAUGUGGCUCUCCCUCAGAUGUGUCUUUUCUCAAAUCUUGGUAUCACCAGUCAGAUGGUUAAAGCUACCCAAGAAUCCAUUCAAAAUACUAAAGCGUUUGAUAUAAGACCAUUUUGGGCAGGAGCAUCAGCAAAUGCAGUGACCGUGGAGUGUCGAUGAUGAUUUGGGUUACGGAUUGGGUGUUUAGCGGUGGUAUUAUGACAACGACCGAACAUUAGUUUUUCGGGUAAUGACUCCAAGAGAUCAAGUUCUGCAUAACUAGAUGCGAGCAUAGAUAAGAAUAUGAGGAUCGAGGUUACCCAAAAAAAAAAGAAUAUGAGGAUCGAGGCUGAUGAGGAUAUUAAAGACACGGCGUCAGAGAUCACAAAAAUAAGGAGGGAUGGUUCACUGCGGAAAAAAAGGAAUCCCGGUGUUCUGUUUGUAUCCACCUGGAAGCGUAAAAGCCGCUGGAAAUACAAUGGUGGCUAUGAGGGUUGCAACUAGCAUAUAGUUUUUCAUCCAACUCUCACCUUUGGUUACUAAAGCUGUAUGUUUCUGGGAGAACAAGUCUUGUGGUGUUUCACCGGCUCCAUUCUUCCUUCUUCUAUAUUGAGGUGGGAUCAUUUGUUCUACCUCCUGUAACAUAUAUUCAGUCAUUUUGAUGGUUCAAAAACAAUUUCCUCUAUCAGUCAAAGUGGUUUGGGUCAAAACAGAGCAAUUGACCUAAUAAUCAUAAACAAAUAAUGCACUAAAUGUGAUUAUGGAAAACAUAUAGUUAACUUAAUUUUUAAAAUAAAAUAAUUUUGAAGGUUGUAUGCAUUCACUUUGGCCUGCUUUAGACCACAUUGCAAGCAUUUUACCCGUUUCCUUUUUAUCUUAAACAUUUCUGAAUUCCAUUAUUUUUUUUACAUCCAAGUUGGUCUUAUGUACAUGAGAAAAAAGGUAAGAUGAUACUUAAGUUUGAGAAAAGGUACCUUGAACCAUAAUAAUUCUUGUUGCAUUUGUAAAGCAAUUCCAGCCACAUUUUGAAAUUGAUUUCCUUUAGCCUUCUUUGCAACCAUAUGCAACAUGCUAUUGCCUUUUUUUGUCUUUAACAAGAGUUGCUAAAUAUCUCAUUGCACCAAUCUCAUGUAACAAAUUAUAGAUCUUUGCAUGACGGUGCUUGAUCGCUAAG
rnacentral:lncRNA from 1 species